AACGAACGCUGGCGGCAUGCCUAACACAUGCAAGUCGAACGAGACCUUCGGGUCUAGUGGCGCACGGGUGCGUAACGCGUGGGAACCUGCCCUUAGGUUCGGAAUAACUCCCCGAAAGGGGUGCUAAUACCGGAUAAUGUCUUCGGACCAAAGAUUUAUCGCCUUUGGAUGGGCCCGCGUUGGAUUAGCUAGUUGGUAGGGUAAAAGCUUACCAAGGCGACGAUCCAUAGCUGGUCUGAGAGGAUGAUCAGCCACACUGGGACUGAGACACGGCCCAGACUCCUACGGGAGGCAGCAGUGGGGAAUAUUGGACAAUGGGCGAAAGCCUGAUCCAGCCAUGCCGCGUGAGUGAUGAAGGCCUUAGGAUUGUAAAGCUCUUUUACCCGGGAUGAUAAUGACGGUACCGGGAGAAUAAGCUCCGGCUAACUCCGUG
rnacentral:rRNA from 1 species